rnacentral:rRNA from 1 species
AACGAACGCUGGCGGCAUGCCUAACACAUGCAAGUCGAACGAUUGCCUUCGGGUGAUAGUGGCGCACGGGUGCGUAACGCGUGGGAAUCUGCCCUUAGGUUCGGAAUAACAGCUGGAAACGGCUGCUAAUACCGGAUGAUAUCGCGAGAUCAAAGAUUUAUCGCCUGAGGAUGAGCCCGCGUUGGAUUAGGUAGUUGGUGGGGUAAAGGCCUACCAAGCCGACGAUCCAUAGCUGGUCUGAGAGGAUGAUCAGCCACACUGGGACUGAGACACGGCCCAGACUCCUACGGGAGGCAGCAGUGGGGAAUAUUGGACAAUGGGCGCAAGCCUGAUCCAGCAAUGCCGCGUGAGUGAUGAAGGCCCUAGGGUUGUAAAGCUCUUUUACCCGGGAAGAUAAUGGCUGUACCGGGAGAAUAAGCCCCGGCUAACUCCGUG